GCACUGGUGGUUCAGUGGUAGAAUUCUCGCCGGCCACGCGGAAGGCCCGGGUUCGAUUCCCGGCCAGUGCA
rfam:Nematostella vectensis strain CH2 x CH6 NEMVEscaffold_15_Cont2993, whole genome shotgun sequence.